AUGAAGAAGAAUGUCGGCUCUCGCCUUCCACCCUUCACAAAAGUUCAGUCUGAACUUAUCAAGGGUUCCCUAGAUUUCAUUGGAAUAAAUCACUAUUUUUCUGUCUACGUGAGUGAUCGUCCUCUAGAUACAGGUGUUCGAGACUACAAGGCGGACAUGUCAGUUAAUUCAAGAGGUAGUUAUUGUUGGAUAAUCAGCAACUAA
rnacentral:rRNA from 1 species